AUUCCAUGAUGAGGGUACUUUUGUAAUAAUUCUUUGUAUCUUUCCCAUGCCUCAUACAAGGACUCACCAUCCAUCUAUUGGAAAGUAGUGAUCUCGUUCCUCAACUU
rfam:Gossypium arboreum cultivar AKA8401 contig_44072_1, whole genome shotgun sequence.